rnacentral:snoRNA from 1 species
UUGGCCCUGAAUCAAGGCCAGCAGUUUGCUGAAGCUGUUGGUUUCAAACAGGAGCCUAAAGAAUUAUCUUUCUAUGGUCUGUUGGCCAUUUCGGAACUUUGGAAAUGUAAUGGUCAAUUCCUUAGAAAGAAACAUCU